rnacentral:rRNA from 1 species
GUUUAACGUACGGNGGGUAACAGAGGGAAACUUCUGAUAAUACUGGAUAAGUUAGUAUAUCGCAUGAUAUGCAAAUGAAAGCUACGGCACUAAAGGAGAGCUUUGCGUCCUAUUAGCUAGUUGGUAAGGUAAGAGCUUACCAAGGCGAUGAUAGGUAGCCGGCCUGAGAGGGUGGACGGCCACAAGGGGACUGAGAUACGGCCCUUACUCCUACGGGAGGCAGCAGCG